rnacentral:rRNA from 1 species
ACUCCUACGGGAGGCAGCAGUGGGGAAUAUUGCACAAUGGGCGCAAGCCUGAUGCAGCCAUGCCGCGUGUGUGAAGAAGGCCUUCGGGUUGUAAAGCACUUUCAGUCGUGAGGAAGGUAGUGUAGUUAAUAGCUGCAUUAUUUGUACGUUAGCGACAGAAGAAGCACCGGCUAACUCCGUGCCAGCAGCCGCGGUAAUACGGAGGGUGCGAGCGUUAAUCGGAAUUACUGGGCGUAAAGCGCAUGCAGGUGGUUUGUUAAGUCAGAUGUGAAAGCCCGGGGCUCAACCUCGGAAUAGCAUUUGAAACUGGCAGACUAGAGUACUGUAGAGGGGGUAGAAUUUCAGGUGUAGCGGUGAAAUGCGUAGAGAUCUGAAGGAAUACCGGUGGCGAAGGCGGCCCCUGGACAGAUACUGACACUCAGAUGCGAAAGCGUGGGAGCAAACAGGAUUAGA